rnacentral:rRNA from 1 species
GGGGGGGGGGGGGGGGGGGGGGGGGGGAGGGGGGUCGGGGGGGGGGGCAGUAGGGGGGGGGGCUUGCGGGGGGCGAGUGGGGGAGGGGGGGGGAGUACAUCGGAGGCUGCUUUCGGGUGGGGGAUAACAUGGGGAAGCUUCCCGGGCUAGCGGAUAGGACGUGCGGAUGGACCGGGGGGAUCUUCGGCCAUGGCGCGAUGUAGUGAGCCGAGGGCGGAUUAGCUAGUUGGCGGGGUAAAGGCCCACCAAGGCGACGAUCGUGAGCUGGUCUGAGAGGAUGAUCAGCCACACUGGAACUGAGACACGGUCCAGACUCCUACGGGAGGCAGCAGUGGGGAAUAUUGGACAAUGGGCGCAAGCCUGAUCCAGCCAUACCGCGUGGGUGAAGAAGGCCUUCGGGUUGUAAAGCCCUUUUGUUGGGAAAGAAAAGCAGCAGGUUAAUACCCCGCUGUUCUGACGGUACCCAAAGAAUAAGCACCGGCUAACUUCGUG